GACGAACGCUGGCGGCGUGCUUAACACAUGCAAGUCGAACGGAAAGGCCCUGCUUUUGUGGGUUGCUCGAGUGGCGCACGGGUGAGUAGCACGUGAGUAACCUGCCCUUGACUUUGGGAUAACUUCAGGAAACUGGGGCUAAUACCGGAUAGGAGCUCCUGCUGCAUGGUGGGGGUUGGAAAGUUUCGGCGGUUGGGGAUGGACUCGCGGCUUAUCAGCUUGUUGGUGGGGUAGUGGCUUACCAAGGCUUUGACGGGUAGCCCGCCUGAGAGGGUGACCGGCCACAUGGGGACUGAGAGACGGCCCAGACUCCUACGGGAGGCAGCAGUGGGGAAUAUUGCACAAUGGGCGGAAGCCUGAUGCAGCAACGCCGCGUGCGGGAUGACGGCCUUCGGGUUGUAAACCGCUUUCGCCUGUGACGAAGCGUGAGUGACGGUAAUGGGUAAAGAAGCACCGGCUAACUACGUG
rnacentral:rRNA from 1 species